GAUGAACGCUGGCGGCGUGCCUAAUACAUGCAAGUCGAGCGAACAGACGAGGAGCUUGCUCCUCUGACGUUAGCGGCGGACGGAUGAGUAACACGUGGAUAACCUACCUAUAAGACUGGGAUAACUUCGGGAAACCGGAGCUAAUACCGGAUAACAUGUUGAACCGCAUGGUUCAACAGUGAAAGACGGUCUUGCUGUCACUUAUAGAUGGAUCCGCGCCGCAUUAGCUAGUUGGUAAGGUAACGGCUUACCAAGGCAACGAUGCGUAGCCGACCUGAGAGGGUGAUCGGCCACACGGGAACUGAGACACGGUCCAGACGCCUACGGGAGGCAGCAGUAGGGAAUCUUCCGCAAUGGGCGAAAGCCUGACGGAGCAACGCCGCGUGAGUGAAGAAGGUCUUCGGAUCGUAAAACUCUGUUAUUAGUGAAGAACAAAUGUGUAAGUAACUAUGCACGUCUUGACGGUACCGAAUCAGAAAGCCACGGCUAACUACGUG
rnacentral:rRNA from 1 species